rnacentral:rRNA from 1 species
GAUGAACGCUGGCGGCGUGCCUAAUACAUGCAAGUCGAGCGGAAACGGGUUCCUCACUGUGGUUCGGAACCAUUUGUCAUUUAACAUUGACCAUUUCACAUUAAUUGCACAUUUAACAUUGACCAUGAACGCUCAAUAGAGCCAAAUGAAAAAUGCUAUCUGAUAAAUUAAUGAAAAUGUAAAUUGAAAAAUGAUACAUGGUUAUUCCGAGCUAGAGUGAGGAAUGACGUCGAGCGGCGGACGGCUGAGUAACGCGUAGGAACGUACCCCAAAGUGAGGGAUAAGCACCGGAAACGGUGUCUAAUACCGCAUGUGCUCUCAGGAGUAAAGCUUCAGGCGCUUUGGGAACGGCCUGCGUCCGAUUAGCUUGUUGGUGAGGUAAAAGCUUACCAAGGCGACGAGUCGGUAGCUGGUCUGAGAGGAUGAUCAGCCAGAC